AUUGAACGCUGGCGGCAGGCCUAACACAUGCAAGUCGAGCGGUAGAGAGGUGCUUGCAUCUCUUGAGAGCGGCGGACGGGUGAGUAAUGCCUAGGAAUCUGCCUAGUGGUGGGGGAUAACGUUCGGAAACGGACGCUAAUACCGCAUACGUCCUACGGGAGAAAGCGGGGGAUCUUCGGACCUCGCGCCAUUAGAUGAGCCUAGGUCGGAUUAGCUAGUUGGUGAGGUAAUGGCUCACCAAGGCGACGAUCCGUAACUGGUCUGAGAGGAUGAUCAGUCACACUGGAACUGAGACACGGUCCAGACUCCUACGGGAGGCAGCAGUGGGGAAUAUUGGACAAUGGGCGAAAGCCUGAUCCAGCCAUGCCGCGUGUGUGAAGAAGGUCUUCGGAUUGUAAAGCACUUUAAGUUGGGAGGAAGGGUAGUAACCUAAUACGUUGC
rnacentral:rRNA from 1 species